CAGUCGCCGCGGGAAUACAGAGGGUGCGAGCGUUAAUCGGAUUUACUGGGCGUAAAGCGUGCGUAGGCGGCUUCUUAAGUCGGAUGUGAAAUCCCUGAGCUUAACUUAGGAAUUGCAUUCGAUACUGGGAAGCUAGAGUAUGGGAGAGGAUGGUAGAAUUCCAGGUGUAGCGGUGAAAUGCGUAGAGAUCUGGAGGAAUACCGAUGGCGAAGGCAGCCAUCUAGCCUAAUACUGACGCUGAGGUACGAAAGCAUGGGGAGCAAACAGGAUUAGAUACCCCCGUAGUCCCUGUCUCUUAUAC
rnacentral:rRNA from 1 species